AGCGAUAAAAGUUGGCUCUUUUAUGGGGGCCACUGCAAACGAAACAGUUUUGUCCUGAUAUUUUUGGUGGAUCAGACCUGUUCCGUAUGCUGUAGUUUUUGACGCAUUCUUGAUCUAUUGGUAACUCAUGAACCCCAUCGUAAUAAACAGGCUACAGCGGAAGCUGGGCUACACUUUUCAAC
rfam:Yersinia mollaretii ATCC 43969 contig01616, whole genome shotgun sequence.